CCGCCUCUGCGCACGCGCGCCAGAGGGUGUGGGGGCCCGCGAGGGCGCAGAGUGGAGCUCUAGGUCUCCGAGCCUCGGUCUAAGCCCCGACGGAGACUAGAGAAGGGAGGGGCGAGAGAGGGCGAGGCCGCGGGCGCGCUCCCUGCGGCCGUCUGAUAGGGCGCGCGGCGUUACGAGCACGCCCCGCGGGGGGGCGCUGCCUAGUGACUGCGCAGGCGCGGCAUGCUGGAGUAGCCCUUUGACACCCACCGUUUUCCUCCUCUGGUCGCUCACCCGGCUCAGCUGAGGAUGCUUCGGGCCGCGUUUGGCGCGUGUGUUUCGCUGAGAGUCUUGGCGCAGCCAAAAGCUUGGGUCGCCGUGUGUUCCUGUGUAGCUGUAGCUCGUAAAUGCGAGAAAAAGUAGCGCCCUGUGUCAUUUAAUAGCCCUUUUGCUAAAAUGAGGCGCAUCCUGAGUGCCCUCUCUCGAGAAAGUGCACAGCUGGCCAGCUUAUGGUUCCAGUCUUCAGCUUCAACUUUCAGGACCUGCCUCUACAACAUAAUGAAGUCUUCCCGGGGACUUCCCUGGUGGCACAGAUGUUAAGAAUCUGCCUGCCAAUGCAGGGGACACGGGUUUGAUCCCUGGUCUGGGAAGAUCCCACAUGCCGCGGAACAACUAAGCCCGUGUGCCACAACUACUGAGCCUGUGCUCUAGAGCCCGUGAUCCACAACUACUGAGCCCGCGUGCCAUGACUACUGAAGCCCACGCACCUACAGCCUGUGCUCUGCAACAAGAGAAGCCACUGCAAUGAGAAGCCCGCUCACCGCAACGAAGAGUAGUCCCCACCUCUCUGCAACGAGAGAAAGCCCGCGUGCAGCAACAAAGACCCAACGCAGCCAAAAAUAAAUAAAUUAAUUAAU